CCCCAGAUUGAACCCACAGGCCAUGCCUGACAACAGUGACUAAGGGAUGCCCACAACCCAACACUGCUUCAGGUAAAUGUUCCAUUAUUUCUGACAUCUUCUCACCUGUUCGGCCCACAUGCCAAUUAGCCAAAUUGAAGGAACACCACUCCAAAAAACAUCACCCAACAGUAUGGAGUAGGUGAAAAAAAAGGAAGACCCCAGUCAAUUAGGGUUUCCCAAAAAAAUCCUACUCAGACUCUGGAAAACAGGUGACUAGCCUGUAGGCACAUACUGCAAAAGAGUGGGGGCCGAAUAAAGAAGGAAGAUUGUGGAGCAGAGCAAGCUUAAAUAGCCUGUCACCACCGCUACGCAUUGGGUGAAGUUGCCCAGCAGGCCAACUCCUCUUCUUCCAGGGGAGGAGUUUCGCAAAUUCAUUUCCUUCAAGUUGGUGGGCAUGGCAUUCUUUGAGAUGCAAAACUUUUUAAGCCACCUCCUUUUCAUAAUAUUUUUUUCCCUAGCAUUCUGAAAAUGUUAACCCACCGUAUACUUUAUUUAAAAAGUAUAAUAAGCAACUCAAAAUAUAUUAAGGGUCUGGGUUUAAAACUCUUAAGUGUAUGUUGGGGGUGGGGCUUGAAAUCACAUGGACUGUAGCACAGAAUGAAACAGUACAAAUAGCGUGUUUAAUCUUUAUUUUCAAUAUGAAAACAUGUGCUCUUAGUAGAUGGAAUUUACAAAUUCAGUCAACAAUGUUCAAUAACGAAUUAUGCUUAACAUAUAACAGCUGAAUUGUUGCACACAAGUUAAAAGUGCUAAUAGUUCGUAAUAUUCACAUAAACACAUGUCCACUAUAAUGUUCAUAAUGAACAAAAAAUGAAGACAGGCUAGGCUUCAAAGAACUGUGAAACCAGUUCGGUGAGCCAAAAAUACCUUUAGACUUUUCUUUUUUGCAGAGCACUAACUCCCCUUCCACCACCACACAGCAAACUGUUUUUGAAACUGAGGGAAGUCUUGGAAGCAGAUUUAUUCGUACGGCAUAGGGAUCAGUUACUCAAAGUGGGGAAAUCAAACUAACUGGGCUACUGCAAACCCACGGCAUGAGUUUAAACAGCUCUUUAGAUCUCGUCCAAAGAUCUAGACUUGCAACUAGUAAGAUAGCCAAGACAGACUUAUUGUGAUGGUUUAAACAGCUCGGAUAAUUGGUAACGGAUUACUAUUAUACAUAUUUGGAUUGACUCAAUUGAGUGGUAUAGUGGGCCAGUGUCAUGAACUACACUUGUCAGUCACCAACUGUAAAAGAUGGUCUUCAGCAUGUGUGUAAUUUCUUCUCCACUGGGAAUCAGUGACUGAACGAUGAAAGCCUUAGUCCUUGUUUAAAGCAGGUUUGCUCCAAAUAUAAGAGUGAAUUCAACUUUGUAGGAGUAACUUGUGAUCCUAAUUUUAGGAACCAAGAGGCCUAAACAAAAACUAAUGCAACCAUGUUACAUGCGUUAGAACAUGUAUUAAGUUUUCAAAUAUAAAACUGUGGAAGCAUCAUAUAAGCACCUAUACAUUAAGAAGAAACAUUGAGUGUCUUCUUGUGCUUACCACCAAUGCAACGAGAAGUUCCAGCAGACUCACAGUAAUCCUGAGGUACACACAAGUAGGAAGUGCAGGAGGGGAGGAGAGAGACCCUGCAAACAGUCCCGUAAUAACCAUGACACAGAAUAUUGAGAAAGGAUAAAAUAAAACCCUGGCAAAAAGGCGAGAGGGGGAAUAGAAUGGAAUGGUUCCAUCAAGUUAGAAGUAUUGUUUCUGAGAGACAGGGGGCAGGAAGGUGUGGGGGACUCCCUGGUCCUGAAUGGGGUAACUGUGCCCCUAAAGCAGGCAUGGCCAAACUUGGCCCUCCAGCUGUUUUGGGACUACAGUUCCCAUCAUCCCUGACCACUGGUCCUGUUAUCUAGGUAUGAUGGGAGUUGUAGUCCCCAAAACAGCUGGAGGGCCAACUUUGGCUAUGCCUGCCCUAAAAGACCAGGGGCGCAGCUUGGGGGUCAUUUUGGAAUCACAGCUGUCCACGGAGGCUGUCCACAGAUUAGUUCUGCAUCACAGCUGUCCACAGAUUAGUUCUGCAUCCAGAACGACUGUCUACCAGCUCCAUCUGGUACGCAGGCUGAAACCCUACCUGCUUGUGCAUUGUCUCACCAGGGUAGUACAUGCUCUGGUUAUCUCCCGCUUGGACUCCUGCAAUGCGCUGUAUGUGGGGCUACCUUUGAAGGUGACUUGGAAACUACAACUAAUCAAGAAUACAGCAGCUAGACUGGUGACUGAUGGCAGUCGCCAGGACCAUAUAACACCAGUCCUAAAGAAUCUACACUAGCUCCCAAUAAGUUUCCGAGCACAAUUCAAAGUGUUGGUGCUGGCCUUUAAAACCCUAAACGGCCUUGGCCUAUAUACCUGAAAGAGCGUCUCCACCCCCAUUGUUCAGCCCGGACACUGAGGUCCACUUCCGAAGGCCUUCUGGUGGUUCCCUCAUUGCGAGAUGUGAAGCUACAGGGACCCAGGUAGAGGGCCUUCUUGGUAGUGGCGCCCACCCUGUGGAACACCUUCCCAUCAAAUGUCAAACAGAUACUAACUACUAUUUGACUGUUACAAACCAUCUGAAGGCUUAGUUCAGGGAAGUUUUUAAUGAAAGACAGAGAAACGUAGAUAAAUUGUGUGCUGUUGUCUGGACAGGUCACUUAAAUGUGCCCAGGCGUGGAAAGAGUGCUCCGCAGAGAGAUCAAUGAAAAUGAAAGAAUUCAGUGUAGGUGGGACCAGGCACAAGUGGGUCCACUCUAUCUCAAAAAUCCCUUAAAUAAUGGGGUGGGGAAAGGACUUACCAUGCUCUGUACUGACUGUUGAAGGCAGUAGGAAAGGACUGGGGCUGGUGGAUGGAAUAAGGUGGAAUGGAGUAGCUGAAAGCCUGAACUUUCAACAUGGUAACAUUUAGUUGCAGGGUUCCAUUUGUAAUUACUGACUUCCAAAUAGGUGGGAAAAUUUGUUUCAGCCACUGCUUAUUUAUAAAUGAGUUCCCCACAACACACAAAGGAAAAUAGUGAGGUGUGUGAAGUUGUAAUACAGUGGUACCUCAGGUUACAUACGCUUCAGGUUACAUAUGCUUCAGUUUACAGACUCCGCUAACCCAGAAAUAGUGCUUCAGGUUAAGAACUUUGCUUCAGGAUGAGAACAGAAAUUGUGCUCCGGCGGUGCGGCAGCAGCAGCAGGAGGCCCCAUUAGCUAAAGUGGUGCUUCAGGUUAAGAACAGUUUCAGGUUAAGAACGGACCUCCGGAAUGAAUUAAGUACUUAACCCGAGGUACCACUGUAUAAUGAAAAUAUUAACCAAGUUUUAAAAGUGGAAAUGCUUGUACCAGCAGUAUUUGAUUUAGUGGUGAUUCCUGUUCAUUUUAAGUAAAUUAUAUUGGACACAGUACAGUGGUACCUCGGGUUAAG